rnacentral:rRNA from 1 species
CCUACGGGAGGCAGCAGUGAGGAAUAUUGGUCAAUGGGCGAGAGUCUGAACCAGCCAAGUCGCGUGAAGGAAGACGGUCCUAUGGAUUGUAAACCUCUUUUGUCGGGGAGUAAAAUUCGGUACGUGUACCGCAUCGUGAGUACCCGGAGAAAAAGCAUCGGCUAACUCCGUGCCAGCAGCCGCGGUAAUACGGAGGAUUCGAGCGUUAUCCGGAUUUAUUGGGUUUAAAGGGUGCGGAGGCGGCCGAGUAAGUCAGGUGUGAAAAUUUGGGGCUCAACCCCAGAAUAGCCGUUGAAACUGGGUUGCUAGAGUGCGCGAGAGGUAUGCGGAAUGCGUGGUGUAGCGGUGAAAUGCAUAGAUAUCACGAAGAACUCCGAUUGCGAAGGCAGCAUACCGGCGCCCAACUGACGCUCAGGCACGAAAGCGUGGGUAUCGAACAGGAUUAGAUACCCGGGUAGUC